UCCAGUUUAUCACUGGCAGUUUCCCUAAAGUUCCCAGCAUGACCUGAUGGCAAUUAAGGAUGAGGGUUGCGCUCGUUGCGGGACUUAACCCAACAUCUCACGACACGAGCUGACGACAGCCAUGCAACACCUGUGUGAGAUCCGGCCGAACCGAGGCCACUUCUUCAAGUGGCUGUAAUCUCCAUGUCAAGGAUUGGUAAGGUUUUUCGCGUUGCAUCGAAUUAAACCACAUGCUCCACCGCUUGUGCGGGUCCCCGUCAAUUCCUUUGAGUUUUAAUCUUGCGACCGUAGUCCCCAGGCGGAAUGCUUAACGCGUUAGCUGUAACACAGAAAGUUGCCUCCCUAUAUUUAGCAUUCAUCGUUUACAGCGUGGACUAC
rnacentral:misc_RNA from 1 species